GACGAACGCUGGCGGCGUGCUUAACACAUGCAAGUCGAGCGGUAAGGCCCUUUCGGGGGUACGACGAGCGGCGAACGGGUGAGUAACACGUGGGUGACCUGCCCUCAGCUCUGGGAUAAGCCUGGGAAACCGGGUCUAAUACCGGAUAUGACUCCAUGACGCAUGUUGUGGGGUGGAAAGCCUUGUGCGGCUGAGGAUGGGCCCGCGGCCUAUCAGCUUGUUGGUGGGGUGAUGGCCUACCAAGGCGACGACGGGUAGCCGGCCUGAGAGGGCGACCGGCCGCACUGGGACUGAGACACGGCCCAGACUCCUACGGGAGGCAGCAGUGGGGAAUCUUGCGCAAUGGGCGAAAGCCUGACGCAGCGACGCCGCGUGAGGGAUGACGGCCU
rnacentral:rRNA from 1 species